GAUGAACGCUGGCGGCGUGCCUAAUACAUGCAAGUCGAGCGAACGGACGAGAAGCUUGCUUCUCUGAUGUUAGCGGCGGACGGGUGAGUAACACGUGGAUAACCUACCUAUCAUACUGGUAUAACUUCGGGAAACCGGAGCUAAUACCGGAUAAUAUUUUGAACCGCAUGGUUCAAAAGUGAAAGACGGUCUUGCUGUCACUUCUAGAUGCAUCCGCGCUGCAUUAGCUAGUUGGUAAGGUAACGGCUUACCAAGGCAACGAUGCAUAGCCGACGUGAGAGGGGGGUAGGCGGCACGAGAACGGGGACGCGGUCCAGACUCCUACGGGACGCAGCAGAAGGGAAUCGUACGCAAUGGUCGGAAGCAUGACGGAGCAACGGCGAGUGAGAGGUAGAAGUGUUGGGAUCGUAAAACUCUGUUAUUAGGGAAGAACAUAUGUGGAAGUAACUGUGCACAGCUUGACGGUAACUAAUCAGAAAGCCACGGCUAACUACGUG
rnacentral:rRNA from 1 species